rnacentral:rRNA from 1 species
GAUGAACGCUAGCGGGAGGCUUAACACAUGCAAGUCGAGGGGUAGGGUAGCAAUACCUGAGACCGGCGGACGGGUGCGUAACGCGUAUGCAACCUUUCUUAUGCAGGGGGACAUCCUUCGGAAACGGAGGUUAAUACCCCAUAAGCCCGUCCUCCUGCCUGGGGGGACGGGGAAAGCUGAGGCGGCAUAAGGUGGGCAUGCGUCUGAUUAGCUGGUUGGGGAGGUAACGGCUCACCAAGGCGACGAUCAGUAGGGGUCCUGAGAGGGAGAUCCCCCACACUGGUACUGAGACACGGACCAGACUCCUACGGGAGGCAGCAGUGAGGAAUAUUGGGCAAUGGGCGGAAGCCUGACCCAGCCAUCCCGCGUGCAGGAUGAAGGCCUUAUGGGUUGUAAACUGCUUUUCUGAGCGGAGAAUUUCCCUUACGCGUAGGGGAGUGACGGUAGUUCAGGAAUAAGCAUCGGCUAACUCCGUGCCAGCAGCCGCAGUAAAAC